rnacentral:rRNA from 1 species
UACGAAGGGGGCUAGCGUUGCUCGGAAUCACUGGGCGUAAAGCGCACGUAGGCGGCUUCUUAAGUCAGGGGUGAAAUCCUGGAACUCAACUCCAGAACUGCCUUUGAUACUGAGGAGCUUGAGUCCGGGAGAGGUGAGUGGAACUGCGAGUGUAGAGGUGAAAUUCGUAGAUAUUCGCAAGAACACCAGUGGCGAAGGCGGCUCACUGGCCCGGUACUGACGCUGAGGUGCGAAAGCGUGGGGAGCAAACAGG